rnacentral:rRNA from 1 species
CAGCGGAGGGAUCAUUACCGAGUUUACAACUCCCAAACCCAAUGUGAACGUUACCAAACUGUUGCCUCGGCGGGAUCUCUGCCCCGGGUGCGUCGCAGCCCCGGACCAAGGCGCCCGCCGGAGGACCAACCAAAACUCUUUUUGUAUACCCCCUCGCGGGUUUUUUAUAAUCUGAGCCUUCUCGGCGCCUCUCGUAGGCGUUUCGAAAAUGAAUCAAAACUUUCAACAACGGAUCUCUUGGUUCUGGCAUCGAUGAAGAACGCAGCGAAAUGCGAUAAGUAAUGUGAAUUGCAGAAUUCAGUGAAUCAUCGAAUCUUUGAACGCACAUUGCGCCCGCCAGUAUUCUGGCGGGCAUGCCUGUCCGAGCGUCAUUUCAACCCUCGAACCCCUCCGGGGGGUCGGCGUUGGGGAUCGGCCCUGCCUCUUGGCGGUGGCCGUCUCCGAAAUACAGUGGCGGUCUCGCCGCAGCCUCUCCUGCGCAGUAGUUUGCACACUCGCAUCGGGAGCGCGGCGCGUCCACAGCCGUUAAACACCCAACUUCUGAAAUGUUGACCUCGGAUCAGGUAGGAAUACCCGCU